rnacentral:rRNA from 1 species
GAUGAACGCUGGCUACAGGCUUAACACAUGCAAGUCGAGGGGAAACGACGGGGAAGCUUGCUUCCCCGGGCGUCGACCGGCGCACGGGUGAGUAACGCGUAUCCAACCUGCCUCUGACUGAGGGAUAACCCGUCGAAAGUCGGCCUAAUACCUCAUGGCAUCGUCUGCGGGCAUCCAACGACGAUUAAAGAUUUCAUCGGUCAGGGAUGGGGAUGCGUCUGAUUAGCUUGUUGGCGGGGUAACGGCCCACCAAGGCUACGAUCAGUAGGGGUUCUGAGAGGAAGGUCCCCCACAUUGGAACUGAGACACGGUCCAAACUCCUACGGGAGGCAGCAGUGAGGAAUAUUGGUCAAUGGGCGGGAGCCUGAACCAGCCAAGUAGCGUGCAGGAUGACGGCCCUAUGGGUUGUAAACUGCUUUUAUGCGGGGAUAAAGUGAGGGACGUGCCCUUCAUUGCAGGUACCGCAUGAAUAAGGACCGGCUAAUUCCGUG